rnacentral:lncRNA from 1 species
UUAUUGAUUUCGUGAAUCGAUUUGAAAUUCUCUAUCCUCUCCAAUAUGGAUUUCGAAAAAAAUCAUUCCACAGUCUCUUCACUUAUCUGCCUGAUGAAUAAAAUUGCUACAGCUAUUGAUCAAAGUGAAAUUACCAUCGGUACCUUCCUAGAUCUGUCAAAACCAUUUGAUACCCUUGAUCAUCAAAUUUUGUUCUCAACUGAGUUGGCACACUAUGGUAUACGUGGUAUAGCAUUGCAAUGGAUCAAAAGCUAUUUUCCCAAUCGAAAACAAUUUGUCCAGUUCAAUGAGACCUAUUCCACCGAACGGAUUAUUAAGUGCGGGGUUCCUCAGGGUUCAAUAUUAGGCCCUUUAUUUUCCUACUUUAUAUAAAUGACCUCCCUAAUAAUACGGAGUUGGCAGAGUGUUUGCUUUUUGCAGAUGAUACCAGCAUUUGAAUGCUGCAUUUGAAUGUAAAAUCUGCAAUUCAGGAGAGGUGGAAAAGGAAACCCAUCUCCUCUCUUGCAAAGCCUAUGAGCAAUCUCGUGCAAACCUUCGAAGUUCAUUAGAGAAUGCUUCAUCUGACG